rnacentral:rRNA from 1 species
AUUGAACGCUGGCGGCAUGCUUUACACAUGCAAGUCGAACGGUAACAGGCCGCAAGGUGCUGACGAGUGGCGAACGGGUGAGUAAUGCAUCGGAACGUGCCCAGUCGUGGGGGAUAACUACUCGAAAGAGUAGCUAAUACCGCAUACGAUCUAUGGAUGAAAGCGGGGGACCGUAAGGCCUCGCGCGAUUGGAGCGGCCGAUGUCAGAUUAGGUAGUUGGUGGGGUAAAGGCUCACCAAGCCAACGAUCUGUAGCUGGUCUGAGAGGACGACCAGCCACACGGGGAGUGGGACACGGCCCAGACCCCGAGGGGGGGGAGGGGGGGGGAAUUUUGGAAAAGGGGGGCAAGCCUGAUCCAGAAAUGCCGGGGGGAGGAAGAAGGCCUUCGGGUUGAAAACUGGUUUUGUAGGGAACAAAAGGGCUCUGGUUAAACCCCGGGGCUAAGGGCGGUACCGAAAGAAUAAGCCCCGGCAAAUUACGG